rnacentral:rRNA from 1 species
UACGUAGGGUGCAAGCGUUGUCCGGAAUUAUUGGGCGUAAAGAGCUCGUAGGCGGUUUGUCGCGUCGAAUGUGAAAACCCGGGGCUCAACCCCGGGCCUGCAUUCGAUACGGGCAGACUAGAGUUCGGUAGGGGAGUCUGGAAUUCCUGGUGUAGCGGUGAAAUGCGCAGAUAUCAGGAGGAACACCGGUGGCGAAGGCGGGACUCUGGGCCGAUACUGACGCUGAGGAGCGAAAAGCGUGGGGGAGCAAACAGG